ensembl:snoRNA small nucleolar RNA SNORD52
UGGGAUGAUGAUUGCAUAGACUAGAGUCUCUGAGAAGCAUGAAGUUGUUUUCACAGUGCACUGACCA